CCUGGCCGUCAGUCCGGUUCUGUCCGUCCCCGCAGUGCGGUGCUUGCUGGUGACACACACACAGAGGCUCCUGCUGAGGGUGAAGGAAAGAGUGAGGAGUGAGGGACGGAUAGGAGCAGGAGAGAGGUGUUGUCCAGACCAGAAGGGGCCUCUGAAAGUGUUGCAUAGAAACAUCCUCCUUUCUUUGGAUUUCAAAGCGCCGUUCAAAUCCUUCCUUAGGUCGCCACAUGUCCACUAACAACAGGGGACAUUCCCAUGGGGCAACACUUCUCCGGCACUCUGUCUCCCAUUUGAUAGCUCCAUCUGGCUGCGGGAUGGGCUUUCCAAUGACAUCACACAACAGGAAGUCCUCGGGGCUGUGUUUCUGGAGAACUAGAAGUGUACCGAGUGAUGACCUGGGCGAUGAGCUGCCUUGCUGUAGAGUGGAUGUUAGCCAGCAGGGAGCGGUAGUUGGCCCCGCUUGAGAGG